ensembl:lncRNA
AUGAAAAUGCCAGACCCACCAGAGUAUGUGUUGUAUACAGAUUCAGAACUGGACAUGGUGCGCAGUCAGUACUUUGCAUUGCUUCACAGUGGAAAGGAAAAGGACUGUAAGAUGUCGAAGGAGCUCUGUUGCAGACUUAUAAGGAACACAGUCACCAGCAUGGUUGCAAUCCUCCGUGCUAGUCCCAUGGGGAAAGAAGUAGGAUACCCCUCCAAACUUGAAAUGAGAGCAAUGUCACAGAAGAUUGUCGACUAUUACCCUAUGUUAUGUGAUGCUGACACACACAUGCCAUAUGUGACCAUCUACACCAAACUGUACAAACGACUCCAAAAUAUGAAGUCUCCAAGGAGGAAACAGGGUUCCAUGCUGCAGCGAGGCAGGCCCAGGAAGAUUAUUUUCAGCUCAGACAACUUAGACAAUGGAACUGAAGGUGACUUAAGUGGCGAAGCAAGUGGUUCAAGUGACUAUACCAUACUUGACCUCAGCAAGGACAACUCAAAUGCAGAGAAGGCAUCAAAAUUCCAUCUACACUCUACUGUACCAACACAGUCAAACAAUAAUACCCUGGCUUCACCACUAUUAUCUAAGUCAGCCUCAUGCUCUGCACCCAGGGCUGCCAUAGGUCCACCAACUCCAGAUGACGAUGUUGCAGACCAUGACAGCCUGAAGAUGCAGCCAAGACAUUACAAAACCUUGAGCAACAUGUACAGGAAACCAAAUGCAAAACCCAACCAAAGUGACGUUGCUCAAAUUUUGGACCUGGAGUUUGAGGCCAGACAAGCUUUUAUUGAUGCAGAUGUUACAAGGGAAGAAGACAGGCCCACAAAAAUAUUUGAAGCAUACCUGUGCUUCAAAGAUAUUCGAAAUGCAAUGGAUGAACUGUGUCGCAUCGUUGGUGGUUCCAACUGCAAAUGCAUAGAUCAAAUGAAGGGUAGAUGGACAGAGUUUUGUUCGAAAGUGCAGUUCUAUGGCAUUUGGAAGAAGGUCCUGAAACCUCCUCUCCCCUUGGAUGUACGUGGAGGUAAGUGGCCUUUUCAUACAUUAAAUCCAUACAUCAGAUAUGUUCAGAUUACUUUAUUAAGAUACUUUUCUCUGUCCACAGUGGAGUUUACUGUCACUCUCUUCAAUGCACUUCCAUCUCUUUUUCCUUCACCAACUACACCACCAAAGCGGCUGGGAAGUGCCAGUGAGGCUCUCCUUCAUAUCCUCCAGCCGGGUGAAGAUGCUAUGCUAUACCUGGAGAAGCGGCCUCUCUCCUCCCCAGUGCUGCUUUUUGAUGGGACAACCAGCAUUGUUGCUGUAGGAAACAUACCAGUGACCACUCUGCCCUUGGAGGAUUUCUGGGAAGGAAUGUUGGUGUUGAUGGCAUAUUACUACACCUUGCACUUAACAUACCCGAAAUGUGUUGCAACGGUCCUCUCUGUCGUACAAACUGAGGUAAUCACUGAUGCCAUCCAUGAUCAAGAUGCCACUUGUGCAUAUAAGAAAGCAAUAGCUAAGUGGAAGUCAUUCUUUGAAAAAUAGGUGAAUACCAAGCAGAAUUUUAUCAGGUCAUUUGCAGUUUGUUUAGCUUUGUAGUGCGUUUGUACAACUUUGUUCCUAAUUUGCCUAGCAAUGUCCUGAGAAACUGCUUUACUUAUGCCUUACAAAUGAAAGUUGUUGUUUUUUUUUCUCUUAAUGACACUCUGAGGCAUAUAAAGUUUUAAAUUAGUAAUGCCGUUAUUUACAACAUUGUGAGAUUAUGUGACUGUCACAAAAGUUUAGGGCCAAAAAUGUAAUUUCUUUUCUCUGUUUAGGCCUUCUAAAGGGUUGAUUUAGAUUUUAGAGAUUGUGCAGCAGCCCUAUAUUGUUUACAAAAAGGGUUUUGUUCUCAUGAGAGGAAUAAAUGUUGACAUAUAUCACUCUUGUCCUGGCUGUGAUUUCAGUAGAAGCCAAGGAAUAUUCUAGGAAAAAGGUCUGUUUUAAGGUUUUUGUGCUUGGAUUUAAUAUGGAUUAGGCUCUAUUUUAAGAUAAGCCAACCUGAAUCAAGAAACAAAUUAAUCAUACUUCACUAAUACUGAGUAGAUUUUCAUAGUAUUAGAACUAUUUUUCUCGUUGCAUUGCAUUCAUUUGCUGCAAGUAAGAAUUCAAAACAUAAAAAAGACUGUAAUUUAGCAUAUUUAACUUACUUUUGGGACUUGAUACGAAGUAAUUUUAUCUAAAAUUGAGUUUUUUAAAGCUUAUUUUAACCCUCUACAAUUCUCAAAUGUGUUCUUUUAUUUCUGGAUUAAAAAAUCUUAUUUCAAGAUUUCUUAAUAAGUAAAAUUAACUUGCUGCAUGGACAGAUAAUUUCACUUGUUUUCAGUGCUUUUUGUAUCAAAUGUAGUAUUUGUUUCCUAAAUGUAGACUACCCAUUUUUGCAGUGCACAGGGCGCGCCGCACAUUUUGAAGAAAAUCUAAGACUUUUAUGUGCGCUUUAUAGUCGUGAA